GAAAUAUGAAGACCAAGAAAAAGCUGCUAACUUUUUUCUUUAAGCGGUUUAAUUCCGUUUAUAUUUCU
rnacentral:tRNA from 1 species